GAGGAUAUAGCUCAGUGGUAGAGUGCGUGCUUAGCAUGCAUGAGGUCUUGGGUUCAAUCUCCAGUACCUCCA
rnacentral:tRNA from 1 species